ACCUUGUGCUCACCGCUUAUGCCGUGAAUGUCUCUUGGCAAGUUGGCGGAAUUCAACUUCUGGUUUAUGUCCUGUGUGUAGGAAGAACAUGAGUAAGCAAGAUCUUAUUACAGCACCAACUGAGAGUCGAUUCCA